AGGAUUCCCCUAGUAACGGCGAGCGAAGCGGGAAGAGCUCAAAUUUAAAAUCUGGUAGGCCUAGCCUAUCCGAAUUGUAGUUUAAAGAGGUGUUAUCUGGUCCUUAUUCGGUGCUCAAGUCCCUUGGAAUAGGGCGUCACAGAGGGUGAGAACCCCGUCUGGGCAUCGAGUAAGGUUCUAUAUGAGGCACUCUCUACGAGUCGGGUUGUUUGGGAAUGCAGCUCAAAAUGGGUGGUAAAUUUCAUCUAAGGCUAAAUACUGGCAAGAGACCGAUAGCGAACAAGUACCGUGAGGGAAAGAUGAAAAGCACCUUGAAAAGGGAGUUAAAUAGUGCGUGAAAUUGUUAAAAGGGAAACGAUUGAGACCAGUAUUGUGACUGGCUGUUCAGCAACGUGUUGGUGCAAGCCUGUGCGUUGCGCAUUCAGCCUGGCACGAGUCAGCGUCAGUUUGGGUUUCCGGAGAGAGGUUGUGGGAAGAUGGGGCUGGCCUUCGGGUCAACCUUUUAUAGACCACAGCUGGCACGGGAGCCUGGACUGAGGAGUGCGACUGUAGUACUCACAAUUUGAAACUAGCCCCCAAGGCAUUGGACUACACGUAGACCUGUGCUGUAAGGGAGAGAGGUAGGGUUGUGCAUACAGUUCCAGGAUGCUGACGAAAUGGUCUUAAACGACCCGUCUUGAAACACGGACCAAGGAGUCCAACAUAUAUGCGAGUAUUUGGGUGGCAAACCCGGAUGCGUAAUGAAAGUGAUCUGGAUGAGAGCCAUUCUUCGGGGUGGUGCAUCAUCGACCGAAUCCUGAUGUCUUCUGAUGGGUUUGAGUAAGAGCAUAUCUGUUGGGACCCGAAA
rnacentral:rRNA from 1 species